rnacentral:rRNA from 1 species
AACGAACGCUGGCGGCAUGCCUAACACAUGCAAGUCGAACGAGACCUUCGGGUCUAGUGGCGCACGGGUGCGUAACGCGUGGGAACCUGCCCUUAGGUUCGGAAUAACUCCCCGAAAGGGGUGCUAAUACCGGAUAAUGUCUUCGGACCAAAGAUUUAUCGCCUUUGGAUGGGCCCGCGUUGGAUUAGCUAGUUGGUAGGGUAAAAGCCUACCAAGGCGACGAUCCAUAGCUGGUCUGAGAGGAUGAUCAGCCACACUGGGACUGAGACACGGCCCAGACUCCUACGGGAGGGAGCAGGGGGGAAUAUUGGACAAUGGGCGAAAGCCUGAUCCAGCAAUGCCGCGUGAGUGAUGAAGGCCUUAGGGUUGUAAAGCUCUUUUACCCGGGAUGAUAAUGACAGUACCGGGAGAAUAAGCUCCGGCUAACUCCGUG